GGGAAAGGACCUCCAUGGGCUGAGAAG
rnacentral:piRNA from 1 species